GGUUAAGCGACUAAGCGUACACGGUGGAUGCCCUGGCAGUCAGAGGCGAUGAAGGACGUGCUAAUCUGCGAAAAGCGUCGGUAAGGUGAUAUGAACCGUUAUAACCGGCGAUGUCCGAAUGGGGAAACCCAGUGCAAUUCGUUGCACUAUCGUUAACUGAAUACAUAGGUUAACGAGGCGAACCGGGGGAACUGAAACAUCUAAGUACCCCGAGGAAAAGAAAUCAACCGAGAUUCCCCCAGUAGCGGCGAGCGAACGGGGAGCAGCCCAGAGUCUGAAUCAGCUUGUGUGUUAGUGGAACGGUCUGGAAAGUCCGACGGUACAGGGUGAUAGUCCCGUACACCAAAAUGCACAGGCUGUGAACUCGAAGAGUAGGGCGGGACACGUGGUAUCCUGUCUGAAUAUGGGGGGACCAUCCUCCAAGGCUAAAUACUCCUGACUGACCGAUAGUGAACCAGUACCGUGAGGGAAAGGCGAAAAGAACCCCGGCGAGGGGAGUGAAAAAGAACCUGAAACCGUGUACGUACAAGCAGUGGGAGCACCUUCGGGUGUGACUGCGUACCUUUUGUAUAAUGGGUCAGCGACUUAUAUUCUGUAGCAAGGUUAACCGUAUAGGGGAGCCGCAGGGAAACCGAGUCUUAACUGGGCGUUAAGUUGCAGGGUAUAGACCCGAAACCCGGUGAUCUAGCCAUGGGCAGGUUGAAGGUUGGGUAACACUAACUGGAGGACCGAACCGACUAAUGUUGAAAAAUUAGCGGAUGACUUGUGGCUGGGGGUGAAAGGCCAAUCAAACCGGGAGAUAGCUGGUUCUCCCCGAAAGCUAUUUAGGUAGCGCCUCGUGAAUUCAUCUUCGGGGGUAGAGCACUGUUUCGGCUAGGGGGUCAUCCCGACUUACCAACCCGAUGCAAACUACGAAUACCGAAGAAUGUUAUCACGGGAGACACACGGCGGGUGCUAACGUCCGUCGUGAAGAGGGAAACAACCCAGACCGCCAGCUAAGGUCCCAAAGUCAUGGUUAAGUGGGAAACGAUGUGGGAAGGCACAGACAGCCAGGAUGUUGGCUUAGAAGCAGCCAUCAUUUAAAGAAAGCGUAAUAGCUCACUGGUCGAGUCGGCCUGCGCGGAAGAUGUAACGGGGCUAAACCAUGCACCGAAGCUGCGGCAGCGACACUAUGUGUUGUUGGGUAGGGGCGUUCUGUAAGCCUGCGAAGGUGUGCUGUGAGGCAUGCUGGAGGUAUCAGAAGUGCGAAUGCUGACAUAAGUAACGAUAAAGCGGGUGAAAAGCCCGCUCGCCGGAAGACCAAGGGUUCCUGUCCAACGUUAAUCGGGGCAGGGUGAGUCGACCCCUAAGGCGAGGCCGAAAGGCGUAGUCGAUGGGAAACAGGUUAAUAUUCCUGUACUUGGUGUUACUGCGAAGGGGGGGACGGAAGGCUAUGUUAGCCGGGCGACGGUUGUCCCGGUUUAAGCAUGUAGGCUGGUUAUCCAGGCAAAUCCGGAUAAUCAAGGCUGAGGUGUGAUGACGAGGCACUACGGUGCUGAAGUAACAAAUGCCCUGCUUCCAGGAAAAGCCUCUAAGCAUCAGGUAACAUCAAAUCGUACCCCAAACCGACACAGGUGGUCAGGUAGAGAAUACCAAGGCGCUUGAGAGAACUCGGGUGAAGGAACUAGGCAAAAUGGUGCCGUAACUUCGGGAGAAGGCACGCUGGUGUGUAGGUGAAGUCCCUGCGGAUGGAGCUGAGACCAGUCGAAGAUACCAGCUGGCUGCAACUGUUUAUUAAAAACACAGCACUGUGCAAACACGAAAGUGGACGUAUACGGUGUGACGCCUGCCCGGUGCCGGAAGGUUAAUUGAUGGGGUUAUCCGUAAGGAGAAGCUCUUGAUCGAAGCCCCGGUAAACGGCGGCCGUAACUAUAACGGUCCUAAGGUAGCGAAAUUCCUUGUCGGGUAAGUUCCGACCUGCACGAAUGGCGUAAUGAUGGCCAGGCUGUCUCCACCCGAGACUCAGUGAAAUUGAACUCGCUGUGAAGAUGCAGUGUACCCGCGGCAAGACGGAAAGACCCCGUGAACCUUUACUAUAGCUUGACACUGAACAUUGAGCCUUGAUGUGUAGGAUAGGUGGGAGGCUUUGAAGCGUGGACGCCAGUCUGCGUGGAGCCAACCUUGAAAUACCACCCUUUAAUGUUUGAUGUUCUAACGUUGGCCCCUUACCGGGGUUGCGGACAGUGUCUGGUGGGUAGUUUGACUGGGGCGGUCUCCUCCCAAAGCGUAACGGAGGAGCACGAAGGUUAGCUAAUCCUGGUCGGACAUCAGGAGGUUAGUGCAAUGGCAUAAGCUAGCUUGACUGCGAGCGUGACGGCGCGAGCAGGUGCGAAAGCAGGUCAUAGUGAUCCGGUGGUUCUGAAUGGAAGGGCCAUCGCUCAACGGAUAAAAGGUACUCCGGGGAUAACAGGCUGAUACCGCCCAAGAGUUCAUAUCGACGGCGGUGUUUGGCACCUCGAUGUCGGCUCAUCACAUCCUGGGGCUGAAGUAGGUCCCAAGGGUAUGGCUGUUCGCCAUUUAAAGUGGUACGCGAGCUGGGUUUAGAACGUCGUGAGACAGUUCGGUCCCUAUCUGCCGUGGGCGCUGGAGAAUUGAGGGGGGCUGCUCCUAGUACGAGAGGACCGGAGUGGACGCAUCACUGGUGUUCGGGUUGUCAUGCCAAUGGCACUGCCCGGUAGCUAAAUGCGGAAGAGAUAAGUGCUGAAAGCAUCUAAGCACGAAACUUGCCCCGAGAUGAGUUCUCCCUGAGACUUUAAGUCUCCUGAAGGAACGUUGAAGACGACGACGUUGAUAGGCCGGGUGUGUAAGCGCAGCGAUGCGUUGAGCUAACCGGUACUAAUGAACCGUGAGGCUUAACCUU
rnacentral:rRNA from 1 species